GGCAUCCCCUCGUGGCGGGGCCCGCGGCCUAUCAGCUCGUUGGUAAGGUAAUGGCUUACCAAGGCGAAGACGGGUAGCUGGUCUGAGAGGAUGGCCAGCCACACGGGGACUGAGACACGGCCCCGACUCCUACGGGAGGCAGCAGUGGGGAAUAUUGGCAAUGGCGCAAGCCUGACCCAGCGACGCCGCGUGGGUGAUGAAGGCCUUCGGGUCGUAAAGCCCUGUCGGGUGGAAAGAACGACUGUGGGGCGAAUAGUCCUACAGUGUGACGGUACCACCGAAGGAAGCACCGGCCAAUUCCGUGCCAGCAGCCGCGGUAA
rnacentral:rRNA from 1 species